rnacentral:rRNA from 1 species
CACGCCCUAAACGAUGUCAACUAGGUGUUGGGGGAGCAAUUUCUCAGUACCGUAGCUAACGCGUGAAGUUGACCGCCUGGGGAGUACGGCCGCAAGGUUAAAACUCAAAGGAAUUGACGGGGACCCGCACAAGCGGUGGAUGAUGUGGAUUAAUUCGAUGCAACGCGAACAACCUUACCUACCCUUGACAUGUCCGGAAGCCUGGUGAGAGCUGGGUGUGCCCGAAAGGGAACUGGAACACAGGUGCUGCAUGGCUGUCGUCAGCUCGUGUCGUGAGAUGUUGGGUUAAGUCCCGCAACGAGCGCAACCCUUGUCCUUAGUUGCUACGCAAGGGCACUCUAAGGAGACUGCCGGUGACAAACCG